rnacentral:rRNA from 1 species
UACGGGGGAGCAAGCGUUGUUCGGAUUUACUGGGCGUAAAGGGCGCGUAGGCGGCCAGCACAAGUCAGUUGUGAAAUCUCCGAGCUUAACUCGGAAAGGUCAACUGAUACUGUGCGGCUAGAGUGCGGAAGGGGCAACUGGAGUUCUUGGUGUAGCGGUGAAAUGCGUAGAUAUCAAGAGGAACACCUGCGGCGAAGGCGGGUUGCUGGGCCGACACUGACGCUGAUGCGCGAAAGCUAGGGGAGCGAACGGG